ACUCCAGGGUGGUUAUACUGUGUCCAGACCCUUCACUGUGGAGAGGACUUGUGGUCCCAGUGGCUGUGAGAGCUGCCGGCAGACAGCCCCGUGCCGCCCGUGGGGAUUACCUCAGCUGCACGGAGACUCUUCGCCCAAGGGCACACCCUUCCCCU